rnacentral:rRNA from 1 species
AUGGUGGCGAUCGAGAACCAAAGCCAGGCCCAGAGGCCGGCGGAGUCCGCGAGGAUCCCCAAGGAGGCGCGGCGGCUCCUGCACAACCUGGCGGCGGCGUGGCCGAACGUGGCGGACUGCCGCGCGCUGGAGGUGGUGCCGCUCAAGGGCGCCAUGACCAACGAGGUGUACCAGGUGCGCUGGCUCACCGCCCCGGCCGGCGGCGAGGCGGGCGCGGGGGCGCUCAAGGAGAGGGAGGUGAGGAAGGUGCUCGUGCGGAUUUACGGCGACGGCGUCGACCUCUUCUUCGACCGCGACGACGAGCUGCGCACCUUCGAGUGCAUGUCCCGCCACGGCCAGGGCCCCCGCCUCCUCGGCCGCUUCCCCAACGGCCGCAUCGAGGAGUUUAUCCACGCACGGACGCUGUCGGCUCCCGAUAUGCGCGAUCCUGAAAUUUCAGCUCUGGUGGCUACAAAACUGAGGGAAUUCCACAACCUUGACAUGCCUGGUCCCAAGCAUGUGCUCCUCUGGGACAGACUGAAGAACUGGCUCAAAACUGCCAAGAACCUGUGCCCAACCGAUCAGGCCAACGAACUACGCUUGGAUUGCCUGGAGGACGAGAUCGCUUCGCUGGAGAAAGAAUUCUCAGGGGAUUACCACCACUGGAUUGGUUUCUGCCACAAUGAUCUACAGUAUGGCAACAUCAUGAUGGAUGAGGAGACCAACAUGCUGACCAUCAUUGACUAUGAGUAUGCAAGCUUCAACCCAGUUGCAUAUGACAUCGCUAACCAUUUCUGCGAGAUGGCGGCAGACUACCAUUCGGAAAAGCCUCAUAUACUGGACUACAGUAAAUAUCCAGAUAUCGAUGAGCAGAGGCGUUUCGUGAAGACUUACCUGAGCACUUCUCGCGAGGAACCUGAAGCGGAGGAGGUGGAGAAUCUGCUCCGGAGCGUGGAGAAGUACACGCUCGCGAGUCAUCUGGUUUGGGGACUCUGGGGAAUAAUAUCGGAUCGUGUCAACGACAUCGACUUCGAUUACCAGGAGUACGCAAGGCAGAGAUUUGAGCAGUACUGGCAGAAGAAGCCUGCCGUCCUAACCUCAUGA